rnacentral:rRNA from 1 species
UGGGGAAUAUUGGACAAUGGAGGGAACUCUGAUCCAGCAAUUCUGUGUGUGUGAAGAAGGUUUUAGGACUGUAAAACACUUUUAGUAGGGAAGAAAAAAAUGACGGUACCUACAGAAGAAGCAACGGCUAAAUACGUGCCAGCAGCCGCGGUAAUACGUAUGUUGCGAGCGUUAUCCGGAAUUAUUGGGCUUAAAGGGCAUCUAGGCGGUAAGACAAGUUGAAGGUGAAAACCUGUGGCUCAACCAUAGGCUUGCCUACAAAACUGUUGAACUAGAGUACUGGAAAGGUGGGUGGAACUACACGAGUAGAGGUGAAAUUCGUAGAUAUGUGUAGGAAUGCCGAUGAUGAAGAUAACUCACUGGACAGAAACUGACGCUGAAGUGCGAAAGCUAGGGGAGCGAACAGG